ACACCUGCUAUUUUCGAUUGGGAGAUUUACGCCGUAGAAAUUUGUUCAGUACGCUGCAAACAGUAAAUAAGUGAUAAUUUUAGAUUAUCCAACGCAAGUGCUUUUCCAACUAUAUUUUUGUCCCGAGAAGUUCCAAAGGAUGUUCCAAAUAACAUAUAGGUUUACGAUAGCUGAUAGUGUACCUUCUUUUCUUGAUCUGCUGAUGAAAUCUUGUGAACUAUGGAACUAAUCUGAGGUUUUCUUGCAUUGUUACUUCACAUUGCUAAAUGUACGAUAAUAUAUCUGUUUACAUGGUUUUCCAAAGCGAUGCCAAAAGGAAUGAAUUGAUGGUUUAUGGAAGGCGAGUCGUAAUUUUUUUCUUCUUCUAGUAAACAAAUAUACUUAGCAAAACGUUAGUGAUCUACACAAGAAAAAAAUACAGUAAAAGUAAAGAAUGUGAAUUAUGUGGUAUUGAUACAAACACAAAAUGCUGCAUCUUCAUAUGUGAUGUUUAAUUCUGGAUGUAUAUAGCUUGUUGGAGAUUCAUAUUACAGUGUUAAAAUUGUUGAUUUUUGGUUCGAUAGAAAAAUGCUUAAUGUUGUUUAAAAGGUGUUGAAAUAAAGUGGCAGGAAAUUGCAACAGACAUGGCAAGCGAUGUGAAUGUAACGGGAAUCGUAUUUGGUGCCAUUUUUGGAGCUCUUUUUGUUUUUACGUGUAUUAUAUCGGCCAUUAAAGCCGUCAGAGAUAGAAAACUUAUUAAAGAACGGAUUGCCGAGAAAAGACGGACAAAAUUAGAAGAAAGUGCAUAUGACAAUUAUACCGAGCUAGAGACUCGUGAAAUUGAACAUCCAGUGUCAUUGCCAAAUAUAUCCAUUGAAGUUCCAUUAGGCCAAAGUCCUUCAUAUAGCAAAUCAAAACGAAUGGACAAAUCAUGCACAAAGCGUUCAGAAAAGACACAAAAAUCCCCCAUUAGAUUAAAUGUUCCAAUGGGUGAUACUCGUGAAACUGCACCUCCGUGGAACUAUAUUCCUUCUCGGAAGGCUACGAAAAACAUUAUCAGGAGAAAUUCGUACGACAUGGCCAUAGGGCGAUAUACAGUAUUAUGCAGUAAAUAUGGUGGAACGCCUAUAGUCAAUGGAACUGCCACAAACUGUAGUACGAUAGCUUACGAAAAUAGUGCAUACUGUGAAAAUUCAUCAGAUAUUGUUUUAUAACUUAAAAAUCAUUGUAUAAUCUUCACAACUAUGAAAAUAUCUUAAAAAUUACUUCAAUAUCGAAUACUAUGUUAUAUAAUAUUAUGUUGCACUCAGAAAAACGUGAUCAGGUCCACAAAAUUAUUACAUUGUGACUUCAUUUUGUGCUCUAGAAACCGCCAAAUUAAUUGUACGGAUGAACUCUUACAAAAUUUUCAGAUUUUAAUGUAACGUGGGUAACGUCUUGUGACCAGUCGAUUCGCUCAUGUAAAAUAACUAACCAAUAUCCAUUCAUAAAGAAUCUCAUCAGUAUACUGA